rnacentral:rRNA from 1 species
AUUGAACGCUGGCGGCAGGCCUAACACAUGCAAGUCGAACGGUAACAGGAAGACGCUUGCUUCUUUGCUGACGAGUGGCGGACGGGUGAGUAAUGUCUGGGAAACUGCCUGAUGGAGGGGGAUAACUACUGGAAACGGUAGCUAAUACCGCAUAACGUCGCAAGACCAAAAAGGGGGACCUUCGGGCCUCUUGCCAUCGGAUGUGCCCAGAUGGGAUUAGCUAGUAGGUGGGGUAACGGCUCACCUAGGCGACGAUCCCUAGCUGGUCUGAGAGGAUGACCAGCCACACUGGAACUGAGACACGGUCCAGACUCCUACGGGAGGCAGCAGUGGGGAAUAUUGCACAGUGGGCGCAAGCCUGAUGCAGCCAUGCCGCGUGUAUGAAGAAGGCCUUCGGGUUGUAAAGUACUUUCAGCGGGGAGGAAGGGAGUAAAGUUAAUACCUUUGCUCAUUGACGUUACCCGCAGAAGAAGCACCGGCUAACUCCGUG